UAGGGAAUAUUGCAAAAUGGGCGAAAGCCCGAUGCAGCAACGCCGCGUGGGCGAUGAAGGCCUUCGGGUCGUAAAGCCCUUUUUGAGGGGAUGAGGAAAGACAGUACCCUCAGAAUAAGCCUCGGCUAACUACGUGCCAGCAGCCGCGGUAAAACGUAGGAGGCGAGCGUUAUCCGGAUUUACUGGGCGUAAAGCGCGUGCAGGCGGAUUGGAGAGUUGGAUGUGAAAGCUCCCGGCUUAACUGGGAGAGGUCGUUCAAUACUUCCAGUCUUGAGUGCAGUAGAGGGAAGUGGAAUUCCGGGUGUAGUGGUGAAAUGCGUAGAUAUCCGGAGGAACACCAGUGGCGAAAGCGGCUUCCUGAACUGUAACUGACGCUCAGACGCGAAAGCUAGGGUAGCAAACG
rnacentral:rRNA from 1 species